CCGGCGCCGGCCGGGGUGUCGCUGAAGCCGGGGCUGGGCUGGAGGUCAGCCUCCUCGUCUGGCCGCGGGCCCAAAGCCGCCACGGCCGCCCGGCCUGCGUCACCCGCCCUCGCCCAGGUUUUGUGAAGUUGUCCUGACGUGGCAGUCGCUUCGUGGCGGGGGCGCGGCUCGGCCGCUGGUCACCUCCCCGGUCCCGCGAAGCGCACUCCCGGAUCUGCAGGAGCGGACGGCGCUCAGGUGGAUUCUUUAUGGCCUGAGCCACCAGUGUCUGAGAAAGUUGAUGGAGGAGAACUCCUGUAUAUCCUGGCUCCUCUCUUACCAAUUUGGAACGACUCCUCAGAGAUACCUGAGAGGCAGCAUCCUAGGCUAAAGUCCUCAGUAAGGCCACCAAAUAAAACAGAAUUCUCAACAUUUAGAAUGUGCAUUUUUUUCCAGUUGAC
ensembl:lncRNA